rnacentral:lncRNA from 10 species
GGGCAAAAAAGUGAGACCCUGCCUCUACAAAAAGUGGAAAAAAUGUGAUGGCACAUGCCUGUAAUCCUAGCUACUCGGGAGGCUGAGCUGGAAGGAUUGCUUGAGCCCAGGAGGUUGAGGCUGCAGUGAGCUAUGAUCACGCCACUGGAUUCCAGCCUGGAUGACAGAGAAAGAUCCUGUCUCAGAAAAAUUUAAACAAGAGACCUCUCAGCCACACAUGGACAGAUAAAAGACUAUAUCAGGAGUUCUCUAGUUUCCUCGGAUAAAAAUGAAGAUAAUAAGAGUUCCAGCCCACAAGCCUCCCCUGGUAGACAACAAUGUUUUCAUAACUGCAAGCAACAAGGUAGUUCCUAGCCCCUCUGCUCUCUAGUUAAGGCGUUACGCACUGCCCAGGGAGAGGGAAAUUCUCUCUGUAGCUGUGGCAACAGCUGUCACCAGGAAGCUAGGGCAUCUCUGCAACCCCUCCUCAGAUGGCACUGAAGAACAUCUGUAAGUCAGGCACUUUUAACUUGGGGCCUUGUAUUUCAACAUUUUUUGUGGGUACGUAGUAGGUAUAUACAUUUAUGGGGCACAUGAGAUGUGUUGACACAGGCAUGCAAUGUGAAAUAAGCACAAUAUGGAGAAUGCGGAAUCUAUCC